GGGGAAUAUUGGACAAUGGGGGCAACCCUGAUCCAGCCAUGCCGCGUGAAUGAUGAAGGCCUUCGGGUUGUAAAGUUCUUUUGGUGGGGACGAUGAUGACGGUACCCACAGAAUAAGCUCCGGCUAACUUCGUGCCAGCAGCCGCGGUAAUACGAAGGGGGCUAGCGUUGUUCGGAAUUACUGGGCGUAAAGGGCGCGUAGGCGGUUUUAUAAGUUGGGUGUGAAAGCCCAGGGCUCAACCCUGGAACUGCACUCAAAACUAUUUUACUUGAAUUCGGUAGAGGAUGGUGGAAUUCCCAGUGUAGAGGUGAAAUUCGUAGAUAUUGGGAAGAAUAUCCGUGGCGAAGGCGGCCAUCUGGACCGACAUUGACGCUGAGGCGCGAAAGCGUGGGGAUCAAAC
rnacentral:rRNA from 1 species